rnacentral:rRNA from 1 species
CAGUGGGACAGGUGGUGCAUGGCUGUCGUCAGCUCGUGUCGUGAGAUGUUGGGUUAAGUCCCGCAACGAGCGCNACCCUUGUCAUUAGUUGGUACGAAAGGGCACUGUAAUGAGASUGCCGGUGACAAACCGGAGGAAGGUGGGGAUGACGUCAAGUCCUCAUGGCCCUUAUAGGUGGGGCKACACACGUCRUACAAUGGCCGGUACAAAGGGUAGCCAACCCGCGAGGGGGAGCCAAUCCCACAAAGCCGGUCGUAGUCCGGAUSGCAGUSUGCAACUGGACUGCGUGAAGUCGGAAUCGCUAGUAAUCGUGGAUCAGCAUGUCACGGUGAAUACGUUCCCGGGCCUUGUACACACCGCCCGUCACACCAUGGGAGUGGGUUGCUCCAGAAGUAGCUAGUCUAACCGCAAGGGGGACGUUACCACGGAGUGAUCAUGAC